rnacentral:rRNA from 1 species
CCUACGGGAGGCAGCAGUGAGGAAUAUUGGUCAAUGGACGAGAGUCUGAACCAGCCAAGUAGCGUGAAGGAUGACUGCCCUAUGGGUUGUAAACUUCUUUUAUAUGGGAAUAAAAUGUUCCACGUGUGGGAUUUUGUAUGUACCAUAUGAAUAAGGAUCGGCUAACUCCGUGCCAGCAGCAGCGGUAAUACGGAGGAUCCGAGCGUUAUCCGGAUUUAUUGGGUUUAAAGGGAGCGUAGGUGGAUUGUUAAGUCAGUUGUGAAAGUUUGCGGCUCAACCGUAAAAUUGCAGUUGAAACUGGCAGUCUUGAGUGCAGUAGAGGUGGGCGGAAUUCGUGGUGUAGCGGUGAAAUGCUUAGAUAUCGCGAAGAACUCCGAUUGCGAAGGCAGUUCACUGGACUGCAACUGACACUGAGGCUCGAAAGUGUGGGUAUCAAACAGGAUUAGAUACCCUGGUAGUC